UACGUAGGGUGCAAGCGUUGUCCGGAAUUAUUGGGCGUAAAGAGCUCGUAGGCGGUUCGUCGCGUCGGCUGUGAAAUCCUGAGGCUCAACCUCGGGUCUGCAGUCGAUACGGGCGGACUGGAGUUCGGCAGGGGAGACUGGAAUUCCUGGUGUAGCGGUGAAAUGCGCAGAUAUCAGGAGGAACACCGGUGGCGAAGGCGGGUCUCUGGGCCGAUACUGACGCUGAGGAGCGAAAGCGUGGGGAGCGAACAGG
rnacentral:rRNA from 1 species